AACGAACGCUGGCGGCAUGCCUAACACAUGCAAGUCGAACGAGACCUUCGGGUCUAGUGGCGCACGGGUGCGUAACGCGUGGGAACCUGCCCUUAGGUUCGGAAUGACUCCCCGAAAGGGGUGCUAAUACCGGAUAAUGUCUUCGGACCAAAGAUUUAUCGCCUUUGGAUGGGCCCGCGUUGGAUUAGCUAGUUGGUAGGGUAAAAGCCUACCAAGGCGACGAUCCAUAGCUGGUCUGAGAGGAUGAUCAGCCACACUGGGACUGAGACACGGCCCAGACUCCUACGGGAAGCAGCAGUGGGGAAUAUUGGACAAUGGGCGAAAGCCUGAUCCAGCAAUGCCGCGUGAGUGAUGAAGGCCUUAGGGUUGUAAAGCUCUUUUACCCGGGAUGAUAAUGACAGUACCGGGAGAAUAAGCUCCGGCUAACUCCGUG
rnacentral:rRNA from 1 species